AUUGAACGCUGGCGGCAUGCCUUACACAUGCAAGUCGAACGGUAACGGGUCCUUCGGGAUGCCGACGAGUGGCGAACGGGUGAGUAAUAUAUCGGAACGUGCCCAGUAGUGGGGGAUAACUGCUCGACAGAGCAGCUAAUACCGCAUACGACCUGAGGGUGAACGGGGGGGAUCGCAAGACCUCUCGCUAUUGGAGCGGACGAUAUCAGAUUAGCUAGUUGGUGGGGUAAAGGCCUACCAAGGCAACGAUCUGUAGUUGGUCUGAGAGGACGACCAGCCACACUGGGACUGAGACACGGCCCAGACUCCUACGGGAGGCAGCAGUGGGGAAUUUUGGACAAUGGGCGCAAGCCUGAUCCAGCAAUGCCGCGUGCAGGAAGAAGGCCUUCGGGUUGUAAACUGCUUUUGUCAGGGAAGAAAUCUUCUGGGCUAAUACCCCGGGAGGAUGACGGUACCUGAAGAAUAAGCACCGGCUAACUACGUG
rnacentral:rRNA from 1 species